UCAACUUGAGAGUUUGAUUCUGGCUCAGAACGAACGCUGGCGGCAGGCUUAACACAUGCAAGUCGAACGCUCACUUCGGUGAGAGUGGCAGACGGGUGAGUAACGCGUGGGAACGUGCCCUUCGCUUCGGAAUAGCCCUGGGAAACUGGGUGUAAUACCGAAUACGCCGUAAUCGGGAAAGAUUUAUCGGCGAAGGAUCGGCCCGCGUUAGAUUAGUUUGUUGGUGGGGUAAUGGCCUACCAAGACUACGAUCUAUAGCUGAUCUGAGAGGAUGAUCAGCCACACUGGGACUGAGACACGGCCCAGACUCCUACGGGAGGCAGCAGUGGGGAAUCUUGGACAAUGGGGGAAACCCUGAUCCAGCCAUGCCGCGUGAAUGAUGAAGGCCUUAGGGUUGUAAAAUUCUUUCAUCAGGGAUGAUAAUGACAGUACCUGAAGAAGAAGCUCCGGCUAACUUCGUGCCAGCAGCCGCGGUAAUACGAAGGGGGCUAGCGUUGUUCGGAAUUACUGGGCGUAAAGCGCACGUAGGCGGGUUGGAAAGUCAGAGGUGAAAUCCCGGAGCUCAACUUCGGAACUGCCUUUGAAACUCCCAGCCUAGAGGAUAGGAGAGGCAAGUGGAAUACCGAGUGUAGAGGUGAAAUUCGUAGAUAUUCGGUGGAACACCAGUGGCGAAGGCGACUUGCUGGACUAUUUCUGACGCUGAGGUGCGAAAGUGUGGGGAGCAAACAGGAUUAGAUACCCUGGUAGUCCACACCGUAAACGAUGAGAGCUAGUUGUUGGUAAGUAUACUUAUCGGUGACGCAG
rnacentral:rRNA from 1 species